rnacentral:lncRNA from 12 species
ACUGGAUUUCACUGGAUUCACCUGUGCUUUAUCUGUCCUGCAGGGAAGGAGGCUGAUGUCACCUGGCUGUUUGUUUCUGCAAGCAGAGAGCGCAUCUUCAACUGGAUCCUGGAAGCACAGAGCUUUAUGAGCUCCUCUCAGCGACCUCAGGACAAGACUCUACUGUGACCAUGACUUGCAUCUUGUAUGGGAGCUCUCUGGAACAAGACUGAGAAGAAAAACUGGCA